GCGGACACGCCCGCCAGCUGCCUGUACAGCGACAUAGUGGGCUCCUGGACCUUCCACGAGGGACAGCGGAACCUCGACAGCUCCGCCCUCUGCGAAGAUUUUGAUGUCGUUCAGCAAGUGCGUGUCACGUUGUCCUACCCCAACGUUGCGGUGGACCAAUACGACAACGUCGGCACCUGGACGCUGAUAUCAAACCAGGGCUUCGAAGUGACCGUAAACGGCAGAACAUACUUUGCAUUCUCUGCCUACGAAACGGUGGGUAACGAUACCUACAGCCUGUGUGACCAGACACUGCCCGGCUGGUCACAUGACGUCACCGUGCGACACUGGUCGUGUUAUUAUGGCAUCAAGGACGGCUCCACCAGGAGGCGGCUCUCAUCUGCAAAACCCG